rnacentral:lncRNA from 1 species
UGAGUUCUGUGUUUUCUUGUGACUUUUUUAGUUCUUUAAAUGAUAUCUACCAAUACCAGAUUCUGUAAAAUCUUUCCAAAAUCUUUCUACCCUAAGAAACUAAUUUUGAUCAGUGGAAGGAAGUUCUUUGUGGAGUUCUGUUAUAUUAUUUCUCUCAUGUUCUUUCAUGUAUUUUGUCAGUUUUGGUUAUGCUGUUCUAUAUUAACAUUAGUGAAAACUGAACAAAUGGUGAUUUGGAGUGAAACAUAAUUUUGAGAGCCUAUAAUCUAUUAUAAUCUCAUGGAAGGAUCCAAUUCAUGGUAAAAUCAAAUCAUCUCUUUCUUAAACUAUACAGGUUGGUCCCUCUUUUGUUAAAUAUGAAACUUCUGCACCUUAUGGUUCCCCCAACUCCCUGCAGCCAAAAUUAAAGGCUACGUUUAAGCUUUCAUCCUUGGAUGAUGAGACAUCAGUACCCAGUUUUUCAUUCUAAAUUAUCUUUCCUAGUGAUCCUCUAAAAAAAUCAACUGGCAUUUCUUAGCGAUUACACAAGUUUUCUGACUGUGGGUGACAAUUUCUAUAUGCAGGUAUAGUAAUAGUAAAUUGGUGCACCCUCUUUUUCAAACACCAUCAAUUACAUCAACUGAAGUAAACAACCCCAGUUGGGAUUCUCACGAAUCCCAUAAAUUGUCUCGAACUACUUCUGGAAAUUGUUGUCAGUAUGGUGGCUCAAAUAAAAACCUGGAGAAUAUGAUCAGUACAGUUAUUGAUCAGUAUGGACAAGUUAAGCCAAAUUUAUCAAACAGUCAAUGUGGAAUGUUACCUGUUUCAGGGGUUAUUUCGGAUCUUAAGUCCAAGGGACAUGGUAAUGUUCUCACUUCUGUGUUCUCCGCACCAUGCGGUACUCAUCCUGUGUGGAGUUCGAAACCAGUCUGCCAGAACGAGAGUUCUUCCUUUCCCAUAAGUACCUCCUCCCAGUCCAAUCCGGAAAGUCACAACUCUGACCAAUAUCAUGACUGUUCCAAUAUUGCUCCUUGUCUUAAUCAAAAUGUAAAGGAAGACACUGAUUUGGAUCAGGCAAGGCAUGAUUCUCCUGCUGCUGAUCAGAGUACUGGUAACAGUUUAUGCCAUGAUACUUCAUAUCAUGUCAAUAGUAGUGCUUAUGGAAGCAUGGACAGUGGAAAUGAUGGGCAUGCUACUUCAGCUAUAGUAUCCAAGAACAACCCAGAAGGUUUCAGUGAUAGUGUUUGUCAUAAUUAUGAUGGGUCUCGAGCCACAUAUUCUCAUCGCACUAGUCAAAGAGAAGCAGCUCUAACCAAGUUUCGACUGAAGCGGAAAGAGCGAUGCUUCGAGAAAAAGGUAUUACAACCUCCACUGAUAUUGUUAGUAAAAUGCUACUUUACUUUGAAAGUAUUUAUGGUAAAUUUAUUUCUAUGGCUAUAGUUAGGUUGGAAACUCCUGUACUAUCUUCUGCUGAUGAACUUACUGAUAAGAACUCUUAAUUUCUUGUAAAGGUUCGAUAUCAAAGCCGGAAGAGACUGGCAGAACAGCGGCCUCGGGUCAAAGGGCAGUUUGUACGCCAAGUACACAAUGAUCAUCCAGUUGCUGAUGCUGGUGGUGAUUCAUAAAGUUGUUUUUUUUUUGUUUUUUUUAUUUAUUUAGGUUGCCUGUAGUAUUAAAUUGCAGCUGACUGUAACACUGAUUGCGUCAACAAGGAUUAGCUGUAGGUUGGUGUGCGUGUGUGUGUGUUGGUGAAAUCUGUUUAUCUUGAAGCAUUAGGCAAAGUAAGAGUAGGCCAGUUGGGAGAUAGCUAAAGGGCAGUAUUUAUUCUUAAGGUGUUUCCUCCUGACUUUAUAUUUGGACUGCCACUUGCAAAUUUAGGAUUUUGUAAUAUUUAGUGGGAUCGAUUUUGGUUUUACCUGUGUAUAUGAAUUCUUGGUUAAAUACUAAUAUAGGUCUGUAAUUACAUAGUUUGUUUCAGUUUGAAAAAAUUUCCCUCGAGAACCUCUGGUUCUGCAGUUGAAUGAUCUUUCUUUGCAUUCGAUUAUUGAACAUUGUUUUAAACUCACAUGGUGCAGUUGCCCAUCUAUUUCAAUUCGCAACCAUUACUGACGUUAAUUUUCACUCUACUCCAUACAUAGGUAUAAGUGUGAAAGGUAAGAUUGCAUACCUGUAAGUCUCCGUGCCACUUGGAAGGUGGUGGUAACCUGGGAGAGUAUAUAAAUUAUGGCUUUA